rnacentral:sRNA from 1 species
CAAGUGCUGCCUGCAGGUCCAUGCCAGUUGCUAUGGCAUCCGUCCCGAGCUGGUCAAUGAAGGCUGGACAUGUUCCCGGUGCGCGGCCCACGCCUGGACUGCGGAGUGCUGCCUGUGCAACCUGCGAGGAGGUGCGCUGCAGAUGACCACCGAUAGGAGGUGGAUCCACGUGAUCUGCGCCAUCGCAGUCCCCGAGGCGCGCUUCCUGAAUGUGAUUGAGCGCCACCCUGUGGACAUCAGCACCAUCCCUGAGCAGCGGUGGAAGCUGGUGCAAAGUACAAAAGUCAAAAGGCAUCAAGGGUGCCAGAGAUAAGCAGGCCCCGUCAGGUGCGGCCUUGCGGGCAUCCUCUGCAGAAUCGAGCACCCCAUGCAGUUUCCACCUUUCCAGAAAAGCAGAGGCGCCGCACGUGCCCCGACACAACCGGGCCGUCCGAUCUUUGUUGUUUUUCUAAUAAUUAUAACAAGCCUGGGCAACAU